UAAUAUACAGGAAACUCUUUUUCCAAAUUUGUAUUUAACGAGUAUACAAAUAAACUCAAACUCAAAGUACAUCCAUGUGCAAAAAGGAUCACCCUUGACCCUCACAAGACUACUCUUAACCUUAGGUUGUUUUCACUCUUGAAAAUCAUAUUUAGGACUCCUUCCUAAAUCAAACAUAAACUCUACAUGCUUUUCUCUCAAGACUCUAAAUGGAAGGGUGCUACCCAUUUAUAAUACAUGAACCAGCCAUAUUUACAUAAUAGUUGCCUAUUUUUAGGCUAAGGCACUUGUCAACUCAGCCCACUACUUUAGCCUAGUGUAAUUGACAAUCCCAACUACUAGGAUCAUGUAAAUCAUGCUAUAGGAUAGUGGGAUCACGGCCCCAAAAUGUGCUAACACUCCUGCCUGCUUUUUUGACAAAGCUCAACUGCUACCCAUGCGCACAGCAUGUGCCGUAACCGCCAUCGACUUUGUCAAUCCAAGACUUGCUGCCCAAUUUCGUCCCCUGGCCUGGAGGCGCCAAUUCCAUUGUAUCCAACUGCAUUGUGAAACAAUUUUCCUUUGCCAUCGCUCACGAACUUGGCCCGUUUGCCCCAACUCAAUGCCAUGACAAGUCUGUCCACGCACUACCUUCCCAUUGCACAUUUGCUUGCCUUUGCCAUUCCGUUUCUACCGUGCCUUGGCAUCAAUGCCUCAUGCCUUGAUGUAUUUGUCAUGAUCAAGUGUCACCCUCAGCCCGCAACUCAUUGUCAAGCCCUUAUCAAGUUGUUUCACCUCCGUCAAAGCCUUGGCCAUCACUCACUAUAAAAAAAGCUUGAAUUAGCUAUGAACGCCAUUGGUAAUCUAUUGCAAAAAUGCUCAUAGCUAGUAGAAUUUCUUGAUAAUCCGCUGCUAAAUAAGAUUAUAAACAAACUUUUCUAUUUAGCUACAAAAUUUGCCCGUCGCUAAAACCUAAUUUUUUGUAAAGUGACUUGCUCGUUUCCCAUUUUUUCCUUAUUGCUGCUCAUGCACCUUAGCUUUUCUAUACUCUUGCUGCCUCAUGACAACUCUUUUAUUUUCAAGUCGAGCUCAAUUGGCGAAGGUUAACAUUAGGUGCACCAAUGUGAAAACCAGCUAGAAAGAAACUUUUUCCUGUUCAAAUACCAAGAAUCUUAGAAAGGUCUGCCUGUUUCUACGGACAUGAAGAUUGUAUGUUAUUGUAGCUAUCAUUUCGUUAAUAGGAUUGUCG
rnacentral:lncRNA from 1 species